rnacentral:snRNA from 13 species
GGUUCAAUUACCCAAGUUUGAGGUAAGGUUGCUGGUUUAAGGCCGAAUUCGUUCGUUCUUUUUCUGGUGAUCUUGCUUUGAACUUAAAAUCCGAUCCUAUGCCCAUGUGCAUCAGA